rnacentral:rRNA from 1 species
GACGAACGCUGGCGGCGUGCUUAACACAUGCAAGUCGAGCGGUAAGGCCCUUUCGGGGGUACACGAGCGGCGAACGGGUGAGUAACACGUGGGUGACCUGCCCUUAGCUCUGGGAUAAGCCUGGGAAACUGGGUCUAAUACCGGAUAUGACUCCAUGACGCAUGUUGUGGGGUGGAAAGCCUUGUGCGGCUAGGGAUGGGCCCGCGGCCUAUCAGCUUGUUGGUGGGGUGAUGGCCUACCAAGGCGACGACGGGUAGCCGGCCUGAGAGGGCGACCGGCCACACUGGGACUGAGACACGGCCCAGACUCCUACGGGAGGCAGCAGUGGGGAAUCUUGCGCAAUGGGCGAAAGCCUGACGCAGCGACGCCGCGUGAGGGAUGACGGCCUCGGUUGUAACGUACUU